CCCUCAUUUUUUAUAGAUUUUCUUCCCUGGCCUCUGCCACACAUAUUCUUCUAUCUACAAAACUAGAAGGACAGUCUGACCUUAGCAUUUAAGGGUAACAGACAAUGAGCCCGACAGACAAUUAGCUGUUAACAGUUAGAUAUAUUUAGCAUUUAAGAAAUGUACUAUCAGUACACUGAAAGUAUUUGGAAAGUUUAGUCAUCAGCAGAUAGAGCAUGAAUCACGUCCAUGUCACCAGCAGACCACUUAUCUAAUCACCCCCACUAUAAAUGCAAGACUCUGUGUCUCCAGAGCUGGUUUGUUUCAUAUUUUAGCUCCACGGUCACAGGCAAAUUCACUGAACCAAAAUAAAACCUUCUGACUUGCUGUUUUCACUGUCCUAAAAUGGGUUAGUGAUGUCUUGCCCACAGAAUUCCACACCAUGAUCUGAAUGAGUGGAAAAAGAUUCUGUCUGGCUCACAGCAGAGAUGAUACCAAAUGGCCAGUAAAGAGGCCGACUCAAAUUCCUUUGAAGGAGGCACCGAGGUGGUGGAUUCAGCAAAAGGCUGUGAAGUUUAUGUAAAAUUUCACUCAUAACUUCAAACGCACUUAAAAUAAGUUAACAGGAAAAGAGAAAAACAACAACAACAACAACAACAAUUUCCCGAGGAUCCCUGCCCACAUUCAGAGUAGCAGAUUUACCUACUUCAAAGUGGAGAUCAAAGCCACACUCUAAGGCUCCUUAUUUCCACAGGCUGGCAAGCAAACAAGGCAUACAGGCUUUGCAAGAGUGUAUCCUAAUUCUCUUACUGAAGAAAAGUCAACAGCAGAGACAACACAGAAAAAGGAAUCAAAGAGGCCAAAUCUGUGGACUCAAAACAAUAAGAAAAAAUAAAUCAACUUUGCUAAAAUUUAAGAAUGCCAGGGGGGUAGGUAAAUGCACUGGGAAGUAUGUGUGGACUAUGAUGAUAAUAAAUCUCCUUUCAAUACAACUGAUAUUUAUCAGACCUUGAAUAAAACACUGAAUGUGGAUACUAUAGUGCAAAGCAUCUAUAUAGGAAUUAGGACAGUGGAAGUAUGAGGUAAGCUGCAAGUGUAAUUUGAAAGUUUCCAGCAGCCAGAUUAAAAAGGUAAAAAGAAACAGGUGAAUGGAUUUUAAUAGCA
rnacentral:lncRNA from 1 species